GCUGCUCUUUCUCCAGGGUACCAGAAGCCUCUAUCCCUGCUUCACCAUACAGUCCACAGGUCUGGGCUGUGCAAGGAGAGCAAGAUGGUGGGAAGCCAUGCUGUGUUUUGCUGAAGUUAAAUCUGAGAGCCGCAGAGUGUGGGAAGCAUCACCAUGAGUCUGUGCAGCAGCGUUUCUGGCAGCCUCGUAGGGGCAUGGGUGAACUGAGUUGUAAAGACUGGUCAGAGUGAAAGUGGUGGGUCUUGUCUGCUCAGCACCCACUGCCUUAUCUCCCAGUUACUGAGCAGCUCUAAAUCCAUAGGUUCAGCAGAGUUUACUCAAUCCCCAGCUCCAGGGCUGGGCAAGUGACCUAGGCCCGGCCAAUCACAAUAUUGAUUCUUCAAAGUCUGCUGUGAUUGAUUCAGGGGUCCAAUCUCCAUCCUCCCUGGUGGAGGGUGGUUGAGGCUGUCAUCUGGUUCCCAGAGUUCUCACUUGCCUUCUGUGAAGCCUCCUCUGCAUCCACCAGCUCCCCACAGCUCUGCCCCCAGAACUCAGCUCCCAUUGGCUCCUCCAGGUGGCCCAGAAAUGGGACAGGCAGCAUGGAGAGAGACAGUGUGUUAUAGGCUGCAUCGUGUCCCCUCACUCCCAAAUUCAUGGGUUGGAGUCCUAACCCUGAGGACCUCAGAAUGUGACUAUAUUUGGCAAUAGGGUCUUUAAAGAGGUAAUUAAAUUAAAAUGAGGUCAUAUGGGUGGGCCCUCAUCCAAUACGACUGUCCUUAUAAGAAGAGGAAAUUUGCAUACAGACAUGCACAGAGGGAAGACGACGUGAAGACACAGGAAGAAGAUAGGCCUCUACAGGCCAAGGAGAGACGCCUCAGAAGGAACCAACCCUGCUGACAUCUUGAUCUUGAACUUCUAGCCUCCUAAACUGAGAAAAUAAAUUUCUGUUGUUUAAGCC
rnacentral:lncRNA from 1 species